ensembl:lncRNA RNASEH2B-AS1 RNASEH2B antisense RNA 1
AUCUUUCCACCUCACCCUCCUGAGUAGCUAGGACUAUAGGCAUGUGCCACCACACCCAGCUAAUUUUUUCUUUAAAUUUUUUUGUAGAGAGAGGGUCUCCCUAUGUUGCCCAGGCUCAAGAUGGCCUUCUAAUGGAGCCAAUAUCUAUCUAUUCAUUCAACAUAUUGCAAAUAAACUUUGGAAAUAAACCAGUUAUAUGAAAUAAAGAAGUAAAUAAAUUAUUAAAUAAAUGGCCUUACUUUAUUCUGUCUCCUCUGCAGGCUUCUGCAAAAGACUUGAGACAGCUCACAAUGAAGUACUCUGUAUUAGGCAGGGUAAUAUUGAUUGCAAGUGACAGAAACCCAAUCAGAAACUCACUGGAGUCAUGAGGAACACUUAUUGGCUCAGGGUUUUUUGUGGACACACAUUUUCAACUCAUUUGGAUAGACACCAAAGCGUGUAAUUGCUGGAUUGUAUGAGUAAAGGCAAAAUAGACCUUCAGAGAAAUAAAGUCUGGGAAAUUGACUAGAUCCUCACUGAAAGAACUACUAAAGGAUGUACUUAUGGAAGAAGAAAAUUACAAAGUGAAAGAACUGGGAUGCAAGAAGUAAUGACUGGCUGGAGCCUCUCCAGGCAGCGCAGAGUCAAGGCAGGAACCAGCCCUGGACAGGACACCAUCCCAUUGCAGGAUGCACUGUCAUACACCCAUACUCACCCAGACCGGGACACUUCAGACACGCCAACUCACCUAAUGCGCGGCUCUCUGGGAGGGCUGCUCCUGUGCCAUGAGGAGUAAGGGAGAUGGCUCACAGCUGGUCUCUACACAUGUUAGCUAUUUGCCUUAUUACACUCACAGAUAGGGCAGCUUAGAGUGCAGUAAGUUUCUCUAUUCUACAUCAUUUCUUUGCCACAUACACCUAUGUCUUUUUCUUCUUUUAGCAAUGACUAUUACUUUUCUCUGAUACCUCUUUAAGCUAUAUAAUGCCGAACAUUCUAUCUUAAGCAAAAUACUUAGCCACACAUCUUUAAAACCGCAAAGACCUACUAAAAUUUUAAGCUGUCACUAAAAUUUUGUAACUAAAUGCACCUCAUAUCCCUACAGAUCCAACAUGCCAUAAUAUCAACAUCCCUGAAGCUGAAAUUUGUGCCAUACUCCCAUGGUGCUUUCAAAGUUCCUGGGGCGGUUAAAAGGCCCUGCAGCUGUUGUUUUCAUUAGCACCUGAAGUGCAUAGGAGGUGCUCUGACAGUAUUUGUCAAUCAUCAUCUACUGCCUCAAAAUGAUGCCAAACACAAACUUUCCCACAAAGGAAAUUGUGUCAAAGUUAAUUCUUCAACAGUAGCUCUUAAUGCACCAAAGAAAAUUUACUUGUAUUCAGCUUAUCUUCUUUUGAAUGUCAUGAGUGAUAUAUAAUUUGAUUUAAAAAAUUGCUUCUCCCCAUUCUACUUUUUCUUUUUGUUUUUUUGAGGGGAGGUUUUAUUAUUAUUAUUAUUAUUGUGAAAAAACACAUAACAUAAAAUUUAACAUCUUAACCUUUUUUUUUGUUUUUUUGAGACGGAGUCUCACUGUGUUGCCUAGGCUGGAGUGCAGUGGCGCCAUCUCUGCUCACUUCCACCUCCGACUCCUGGGUUCAAGUGAUUCUCCUGCCUCAGCCUCCCAAGUAGCUGGGAUUACAGGCGUGCGCCACCACGCCCAGCUAAUUUUUGUAUUUUUAGUAGAGAUGGAGUUUUGCCAUGUUGGCCAGGCUGGUCUUGAACUCCUGAUCUCAAAUGAUCUGCCCACCUCAGCCUCCCAAAGUGCUGGGAUUAAAGGCAUAAGCCACCACACCCGGCCCAUCUUAACCAUUUUUAAGUGGCAUUAAGUACAUUCACAUUGUCGUGAAACAGAUCUCCAGAACUUUUUUAUCUCGCAAAACUGAAACUCUAUGCCCAUUUAAAAAAUCCUCAUUUUCUUUUGCUUCCAGCCCCAGGUAAUCACCAUUCUGCUUUCUGUCUCUAUGAAUUUGACUACUUUAGAUACCUCAUGUAAGCAGAAUCACAGUAUUUGUCUUUUUGUUAACUGGCUUAUUUUACUUAGCAUAAUGUCCUCAUGGUUCAUCUAUGUUGCAGUAUGUGACAGAACUUUCUUACUUUUUAAGGCUGAAUAAUAUUCCAUUUUAUGAAUUUACUACAUUUUGUUUAUCCAUUCAUGUCAAUGGACAUUUGUGUUGCUUGUAGCUCUUGACUAUAGAGAAUCAUGCUGCUCUGAACAUGAAUGUACAAAUAUCUUUUCAAUAUACUGACUUCAAAUUAUUUGGAUAUAUAUCCAGAAGUGGAAUUGCUGGAUCAUAUGGUAGUUCUAUUUUUAAUAUUUUGAGGAACCUCUAUACUGUUUUCCAUAGCAGUUGCACAAUUUUACAGUCCCACCAAUUGUGCAUAAGGGUUCCAAUUUCUCCACCUCCUCAUCAACACUCGGUAUUUUAUGUUUAUUGUUUUUUUUUUUUUUAGAGUAACCAUCCUAAGAGUGUGAGAUAAUAUCUCAUUGUAGUUUUGAUUUGCAUUUCUCUGAUAAAUAGUAACAUUGAGCAGCUUUUCAUACGCUUGUUGACCAUUUGUAUCUCUUUGGAGAAAGGCUUAUUUAAUUCAUUUGCCUAUUUUUUAAUUGGUUCAUUUGAUUUUUUGUGGUUGAGUUGUAGAAGUUUUUAUGUAUUCUGGAUAUUAACCCCUUAUCACAUAUAUGAUUUGCAAAUAUUUUCUUCCAUUCUGUAGGUUGCCUUGUCACUUUGUUGAUUGCUUCCUUUGAUGAACAAGAAUUGUUUAAAUUUGAUAUAAUCCCAUUCGUCUAUUUUAUCUUUUUUUGCCUGUGCUAUUGGUGUUGUAUUCAAGAAAUCAUUGCCAAGUCCAAUGUCAUGGAGAUUUUCCCCUAGGUUUUCUUCUAGGGGUUUUAUAGUUUUGGGUUUUUCAUUUGGUCUUUAAUCCAUUUUGAGCUAGCUUUUGUGUAUGGUAUAAGAGAAGGGUCCAACUUUAUUCUUUUGCAUGUGGCUAUUCAAUUUUCCCAACACUAUUUGUUGAAGAGGCUGCUCUUCUCUCAUUAAGUGGUGUUGGUAUCCUUGUUGAAGAUCACUUGACCAUAUAUGUGAGGGUUUAUUUCUGAGUUCUCACCUCUGUUCCAUUGGUCUGCAUAUCUUUCUUUAUCCCAGUAUGACACUGUUUUGAUUACUGUAGUUUUGUAAUAUAUUUUGAAAUCAGAAAGUAUGUAUCCUCCAACUUUGUUCUUUUUCCAAAUCGUUUUGGCUAUUCAGGGUACCUUGAGAUUCCAUAUGGAUUUUAGGAUAAAUUUUUCUGUUUCUAAAAAAAAUGCCAUUGGAAUUUUGAUAGAAAUUGCAUUAAAUCUGUAAUCACUUUGGGUGGUAUGGACAUAUUAACAAUAUUAAGUCUUCCAGUCCAUGAACAUGAGGUAUUUUUCAAUUUAUUCACAUCUUCUUAAUUUCUUUCAGCAAUGUUUUAUAAUUUUUAGUGUAUGCGUCUUUCACAUUUUUGUUUAGGUUUAUUCCUAAAUGUGUUAUUUAUUUUGAUGCUAGUAUAAGCAAAAUUGUUUCCUUAAUUUUCUUUUCAGAUUGUUCAUUGUUAAUAUACAGAAACCACUGUUUCUUCACAGUAUUAAAGACAUAUGUGUCACAUAAACACAGAACCAUCAGCUCAAGGUUUUUUAUAGAUUAUUGUAGUUUUUAUUUUAUAAGAUAAUGUUGCAAUGUAUAACAUUAAAAUUUAAAGUGUGC